GGGUUAGUAGGUUGGUCAUGCCUCUGGUAUGUACUGAUCUCACUGAUUCCUUCUUCCUGAUGAGCCGUAAUGCCAUUAAUUUGGUGUUGCGGGGAAUUUGGACUGUUACUUUGAAAAAAUUAGAGUGUUUAAAGCAGACUAUCGUCUGAAUACAUUAGCAUGGAAUAAUGAAAUAGGACGUUUGAUCCUAUUUUGUUGGUUUCUAGGAUUGACGUA
rnacentral:rRNA from 1 species